UCCGUAGGUGAACCUGCGGAAGGAUCAUUACCGAGUGAGGGCCCUCUGGGUCCAACCUCCCACCCGUGUCUAUCGUACCUUGUUGCUUCGGCGGGCCCGCCGUUUCGACGGCCGCCGGGGAGGCCUUGCGCCCCCGGGCCCGCGCCCGCCGAAGACCCCAACAUGAACGCUGUUCUGAAAGUAUGCAGUCUGAGUUGAUUAUCGUAAUCAGUUAAAACUUUCAACAACGGAUCUCUUGGUUCCGGCAUCGAUGAAGAACGCAGCGAAAUGCGAUAAGUAAUGUGAAUUGCAGAAUUCAGUGAAUCAUCGAGUCUUUGAACGCACAUUGCGCCCCCUGGUAUUCCGGGGGGCAUGCCUGUCCGAGCGUCAUUGCUGCCCUCAAGCACGGCUUGUGUGUUGGGCCCCCGUCCCCCUCUCCCGGGGGACGGGCCCGAAAGGCAGCGGCGGCACCGCGUCCGGUCCUCGAGCGUAUGGGGCUUUGUCACCUGCUCUGUAGGCCCGGCCGGCGCCAGCCGACACCCAACUUUAUUUUUCUAAGGUUGACCUCGGAUCAGGUAGGGAUACCCGCUGAACUUAAGCAUAUCAAUAAGUCGGAGG
rnacentral:rRNA from 1 species